rnacentral:rRNA from 1 species
AUGAACGCUGGCGGCGUGCCUAAUACAUGCCAGUCGAGCGAACAGACGAGGAGCUUGCUCCUCUGACGUUAGCGGCGGACGGGUGAGUAACACGUGGAUAACCUACCUAUAAGACUGGGAUAACUUCGGGAAACCGGAGCUAAUACCGGAUAAUAUAUUGAACCGCAUGGUUCAAUAGUGAAAGACGGUUUUGCUGUCACUUAUAGAUGGAUCCGCGCCGCAUUAGCUAGUUGGUAAGGUAACGGCUUACCAAGGAAACGAUGCGUAGCCGACCUGAGAGGGUGAUCGGCCACACUGGAACUGAGACACGGUCCAGACUCCUACGGGAGGCAGCAGUAGGGAAUCUUCCGCAAUGGGCGAAAGCCUGACGGAGCAACGCCGCGUGAGUGAUGAAGGUCUUCGGAUCGUAAAACUCUGUUAUUAGGGAAGAACAAAUGUGUAAGUAACUAUGCACGUCUUGACGGUACCUAAUCAGAAAGCCACGGCUAACUACGUG